CAAAAACAUCGCCUCCUGCAAAAAUCAAUGUAUAAGAGGUCCUACCUGCCCAGUGACUUAGUUAAACGGCCGCGGUAUUUUGACCGUGCAAAGGUAGCGCAAUCACUUGUCUUUUAAAUAAAGACCUGUAUGAAUGGUGAAACGAGGGCUUAACUGUCUCCCUUUUCUGAUCAGUGAAAUUGAUCUACCCGUGCAGAAGCGGGUAUAAAUAUACAAGACGAGAAGACCCUAUGGAGCUUUAGACAGAAGGUCAUCUAUGUUAAAAACCCCAGAUAAAGGGAUAAAACAAAAUAGUAACUGACUAACGUCUUCGGUUGGGGCGACCACGGGGGAAAACAAAUCCCCCACGUGGAUUGGGAAAUCUCCCUAAAACCAUGAGGUACACCUCUAAGUCACAGUACUUCUGACCUAAAGAUCCGGCACUUAGCCGAUCAACGAACCAAGUUACCCUAGGGAUAACAGCGCAAUCCCCUCCAAGAGUCCUUAUCGACAAGGGGGUUUACGACCUCGAUGUUGGAUCAGGACAUCCUAAUGGUGCAGCCGCUAUUAAGGGUUCGUUUGUUCAACGAUUAAAGUCCUACGUGAUCUGAG
rnacentral:rRNA from 1 species